rnacentral:rRNA from 1 species
UACGGGGGGUGCGAGCGUUGUCCGGAAUUAUUGGGCGUAAAGAGCUCGUAGGUGGCUUGUCGCGUCUGCCGUGAAAGCCCGUGGCUUAACUACGGGUCUGCGGUGGAUACGGGCAGGCUAGAGGCUGGUAGGGGCAAGCGGAAUUCCUGGUGUAGCGGUGAAAUGCGUUGAUAUCGAUAGGAACUCCGGUGGCGAAGGCGGCAUACUGGACCACAUCUGACGCUGAGGCGCGAAAGCCAGGGGAGCGAACGGG